AACGAACGCUGGCGGCAUGCCUAACACAUGCAAGUCGAACGAGAUCUUCGGGUCUAGUGGCGCACGGGUGCGUAACGCGUGGGGAUCUGCCCUUUGGUUCGGAAUAACAGUUGGAAACGACUGCUAAUACCGGAUGAUGACGAAAGUCCAAAGAUUUAUCGCCAGAGGAUGAGCCCGCGUAGGAUUAGCUAGUUGGUGUGGUAAAGGCGCACCAAGGCGACGAUCCUUAGCUGGUCUGAGAGGAUGAUCAGCCACACUGGGACUGAGACACGGCCCAGACUCCUACGGGUGGCAGCAGUGGGGAAUAUUGGACAAUGGGCGAAAGCCUGAUCCAGCAAUGCCGCGUGGGUGAUGAAGGCCUUAGGGUUGUAAAGCUCUUUUACCCGGGAUGAUAAUGACAGUACCGGGAGAAUAAGCUCCGGCUAACUCCGUGCCAGCCGCCGCGGUAA
rnacentral:rRNA from 1 species